CUCCGUGGCUGCCUGCUGCCCUUGUGCAAGGGGACAAAGGCUGCUGACAGGUGCUGCUUCCCAGGGCCAGCGGGAGGCUCCCACCGUGGGUCCUGAGGCCAGACAAGCGGCCCUGACUCAGAACCCUCUGCUCUGGCAUGACCCUCUCAAGGAGACUGAAGGUCCCAGCUCCACCGAGCCAGUCUUCAGGACCAGUCCCGGGGCAGGAGACCGAGUUCUGUGCAGAGGGUCCGGCCAGAGAACCAGGCUGUGGGAGCCCAGACCGCCCCCAGUUAGCCACCAUCUAGGCCCGGGUAAGCUGGAGCCCGGGGGCUCAGGAAGGCUGCUCCACCGGCUGACAGGACCGGCUUGCGUGUCUCCACUUGUGAGGAGGACAGAAGAAGGCAUCGCUCAGUUCGGAAACUGAGUUUUGUCGGGCGGUCAGAACAAAGUAGCAGAGGCUGAGCCGCUAACACAACACCCAUCCGUCUUCCCACAGUUCUGGAGACCAGAAGUCAGAGGUGAAGGCCGCCUCCCUCCACAGGAGGCAGGAAGAGUCGGUCCAGGGCCUCCCCCGCAGCUCCCGGUGGUUCCUUGACCGGGUAGCAGAGCUCCCAACUGCGUUCGUGGCUUGUCGGACUUUCCCCUUUCGUGAGGAUACUGGUAAUGUUGGACCAGACCCCCCAGUGACUUGUCUCCGCGGGCCCAUCUGUAAAGUCCCGCUCUCUAAACGAGGUCGUGACCUGAGGUAGCAGAGUUUAGGACUUCAACAAACGCGUUCUGUGGGAACAAAACUCAACCCACUAAACAGGGGAAGGUGAGCCUGUGUCAGUAAAAGGUGUGAGUCGCAGACUUUUGUAAAAGAAAUGCAGAUAAGGGGUGCCUGGGGGGGCUCCGUUGGUGAAGCAUCUGCCUUCGGCUCAGGUCAUGAUCUCGGGGUCCUGGGAUCGAGCCCCAUGUCCGGCCCCUGUUCAGCGAGGAGUCUGCUUCUCCCUCUCCAUCUGCCCACACCCCUGCUUGUGUGCUCUCUCUCUCUCUCUCAAAUAAAUACAUACAUACAUACAUAAAUACAUACAUACAUAAAUAAAUAGAUAAAUAAAUAAAUAAAUAAAUAAAAUCUUUUUUAAAAUGUGAAUAAGUACACCAGGGAUGAAUAAGCUUUCAUAUUCAUUCAGGAGGUUCACCAAAAUCAGCAUGUUGUACAGAAACGCAGUGUGUGCGCCUGAGGCCCCACACCCACCUACUGGUGCGCCUGGUGAAGGCAGGACAGAUUUACCUCACUCUGACUCCGACAGAUUCACUCACAGACUUG
rnacentral:lncRNA from 1 species